rnacentral:rRNA from 1 species
UACGGAGGGUGCAAGCGUUAUCCGGAUUUACUGGGUUUAAAGGGUGCGCAGGCGGAUAUGUAAGUCAGUGGUGAAAUCUCCGGGCUUAACCCGGAAACUGCCGUUGAUACUAUAUAUCUUGAAUGCUGUGGAGGUAAGCGGAAUAUGUCAUGUAGCGGUGAAAUGCUUAGAUAUGACAUAGAACACCAAUUGCGAAGGCAGCUUACUACACAGUUAUUGACGCUGAGGCACGAAAGCGUGGGGAUCAAACAGG